AACGAACGCUGGCGGCAGGCUUAACACAUGCAAGUCGAACGCAUCCUUCGGGGUGAGUGGCAGACGGGUGAGUAACGCGUGGGAACGUGCCCUUCAGUUCGGAUAACCCAGGGAAACUUGGGCUAAUACCGGAUACGUGCGAGAGCAGAAAGAUUUAUCGCUGAAGGAUCGGCCCGCGUCUGAUUAGCUAGUUGGUGGGGUAAUGGCCCACCAAGGCGACGAUCAGUAGCUGGUCUGAGAGGAUGAUCAGCCACAUUGGGACUGAGACACGGCCCAAACUCCUACGGGAGGCAGCAGUGGGGAAUAUUGGACAAUGGGCGCAAGCCUGAUCCAGCCAUGCCGCGUGAGUGAUGAAGGCCUUAGGGUUGUAAAGCUCUUUCGUCCGGGACGAUAAUGGCGGUACCGGAAGAAGAAGCCCCGGCUAACUUCGUGCCAGCCGCCGCCGUAAGAC
rnacentral:rRNA from 1 species